AAUGCAUUCAGUGAUGCUAACACUAGGUC
rnacentral:piRNA from 1 species